UACGGAGGGGGCAAGCGUUGUUCGGAAUUACUGGGCGUAAAGGGCGCGUAGGCGGAAUGUCAAGUUAGGGGUGAAAGGCCUGGGCUCAACCUAGGAACUGCCUUUAAAACUGAUGAUCUAGAGUCCGGAAGAGGAUGGCGGAAUUCCCAGUGUAGAGGUGAAAUUCGUAGAUAUUGGGAAGAACACCGGUGGCGAAGGCGGCCAUCUGGUCCGGUACUGACGCUGAGGCGCGAAAGCGUGGGGAGCAAAC
rnacentral:rRNA from 1 species